rnacentral:rRNA from 1 species
GAGUUUGUCGGUUGGUCGGGCUUCACUGUCCGCACUGGCCUGAUGGAUUCCUACCUUCUGAAUAACCAGCAUGCUAUUAAGUUAGUGCGUUGGGGAAUCAGGACUGUUACUUUGAAAAAAUUAGAGUGUUUAAAGCAGGCUCACGCUUGAAUACAUUAGCAUGGAAUAAUGAAAUAGGACGUUUGAUCCUAUUUUGUUGGUUUCUAGGAUUGACGUA